AAUUUGGCACACCCAAUUCCACACCCUUCAAAACUCCUAAAAUCUUUCCCCAUAGCACUCCUAAAGAUCAUUCAACUUUAUCCCACCUAACCACAUCCCUACCAACCGAAAUUCCCUCCAGCAAGCUCCCAGAAUUCGGCCACCACUCCCCACUCCUCAAACACCCCAAUUUUAGUGCAACUACAACACCUCCUCAGCGUCAGUAGCAAAAUAAAAUACCCUUUUGUGCCGCCAAGCCUCGAACCUAAGCUCCCCUGGAACACUACACAUGCC
rnacentral:lncRNA from 1 species